rnacentral:tRNA from 1 species
GGGGAUGUAGCUCAAAUGGUAGAGCAGUUGUUCAGCAUACAUCAGGUAGAAGGAUCGAUACCUCCCAUCUCCA